rnacentral:rRNA from 1 species
GAGUUUGAUCCUGGCUCAGAUUGAACGCUGGCGGCAUGCCUUACACAUGCAAGUCGAACGGCAGCACGGGAGCUUGCUCCUGGUGGCGAGUGGCGAACGGGUGAGUAAUGCAUCGGAACGUAUCCUGGAGUGGGGGAUAACGUAGCGAAAGUUACGCUAAUACCGCAUAUUCUGUGAGCAGGAAAGCGGGGGAACCUUCGGGCCUCGCGCUCUUGGAGCGGCCGAUGUCGGAUUAGCUAGUU